rnacentral:rRNA from 1 species
AUGUUCCCUGUCGGCGACCUGUCCACGCUACAGAGCGACAGCGCCUGCCAAGGUGCCCUCCGCGGGAUGCUGGCGGAGCUGGGUCAGCUCCGGGCUCUCCACCUCGACGAGGACGAGUGGGACGCUGUCGUGCCCGCGGAAAUCGUGCCGCAGAUCGUCCGCGUGGCGCGCGGCGAGGACGCCAAGGACGGCUUCACUUUCUGCUUCGCGAUGAAUGUGCACCGGCGGAUCAUACACGGCGAGGAGGCCCUGCUGAUGGCGUGCAAAGAGAGGGAGCUGGACCUGGACGGCGCCGGGACGACGGACGACUGCGCGAUCUGUCUGGAUGGCCUGGAGGGAGAGCCCGCCGUGGAGCUGCCGGCUUGCCGGCACUCGUUCCACCGCCGGUGCAUUUCCACGUGGUUCUCCAAGAAGACGACGUGCCCCAUGUGCCGCGAAGACGUUAUAGACUCUGUGCCCUGCGGAAGUUUCUGA